AUUGAACGCUGGCGGAAUGCUUUACACAUGCAAGUCGAACGGCAGCACGGACUUCGGUCUGGUGGCGAGUGGCGAACGGGUGAGUAAUGUGUCGGAACGUGCCCAGUCGUGGGGGAUAACGUAGUGAAAAUUACGCUAAUACCGCAUACGAUCUAGGGAUGAAAGCGGGGGAUCGCAAGACCUCGCGCGAUUGGAGCGGCCGAUAUCAGAUUAGGUAGUUGGUGGGGUAAAGGCCCACCAAGCCGACGAUCUGUAGCUGGUCUGAGAGGACGACCAGCCACACUGGAACUGAGACACGGUCCAGACUCCUACGGGAGGCAGCAGUGGGGAAUUUUGGACAAUGGGCGAAAGCCUGAUCCAGCCAUUCCGCGUGCAGGAUGAAGGCCCUCGGGUUGUAAACUGCUUUUGUACAGAACGAAAAGGUUUCUACUAAUACUAGGAGCUCAUGACGGUACUGUAAGAAUAAGCACCGGCUAACUACGUGCCAGCAGCCGCCGCUG
rnacentral:rRNA from 1 species